rnacentral:piRNA from 1 species
UAAAAAGAAACCCUGGAAUGUGAAAUC